AUAAAACAUUUAUUGUAACUAAAACAGUAUAAAAACAUUCAUAAUUAUUAUGAGAAAGAAAUACAUACACGUGUAGGUCUCUACAAUACAAUAUGGAAUUACCUUGCCUUUACCUAAAAUUUUGAAAAGGUAUAUUAAUAGUAAUUAAUUAAAAUAUUAAAUUGGAUCAUUUACAUUGGCUUAAUGGUAUGAUAAUAAUUUAUUAACAUUUCUCUUAAAAUGAAGGUAGAAUUACACACAAC